rnacentral:rRNA from 1 species
UGGGGAAUAUUGGACAAUGGGCGAAAGCCUGAUCCAGCCAUGCCGCGUGUGUGAAGAAGGUCUUCGGAUUGUAAAGCACUUUAAGUUGGGAGGAAGGGCAGUAAGCGAAUACCUUGCUGUUUUGACGUUACCGACAGAAUAAGCACCGGCUAACUCUGUGCCAGCAGCCGCGGUAAUACAGAGGGUGCAAGCGUUAAUCGGAAUUACUGGGCGUAAAGCGCGCGUAGGUGGUUCGUUAAGUUGAAUGUGAAAGCCCCGAGCUCAACCUGGGAACUGCAUCCAAAACUGGCGAGCUAGAGUAGGGCAGAGGGUGGUGGAAUUUCCUGUGUAGCGGUGAAAUGCGUAGAUAUAGGAAGGAAAACCAGUGGCGAAGGCGACCACCUGGGCUCAUACUGACACUGAGGUGCGAAAGCGUGGGGAGCAAACAGG